rnacentral:SRP_RNA from 1 species
GCCGGGCAUGGUGGUGCAUGCCUGUAAUCCCAGCUACUCUGGAGGCUGAGGCAGGAGGAUUACAUGAACCCAGGAGGCAGAGGUUGCAGUGAGCCAAGAUCGUGCCACUGAACUCCAGUCUGAGUGACAGAGCAAGAUCCUGUCUCAA